AUUGAACGCUGGCGGCAGGCCUAACACAUGCAAGUCGAACGAGUGGCGGACGGGUGAGUAAUGUCUGGGAAACUGCCUGAUGGAGGGGGAUAACUACUGGAAACGGUAGCUAAUACCGCAUACCAUCGGAUGUGCCCAGAUGGGAUUAGCUAGUAGGUGGGGUAAAGGCUCACCUAGGCGACGAUCCCUAGCUGGUCUGAGAGGAUGACCGGCCAAACUGGGACUGAGACACGGUCCAGACUCCUACGGGAGGCAGCAGUAGGGAAUAUUGGGCAAUGGGCGAAAGCCUGAUGGAGCCAUGCCGCGUGAGUGAAGAAGGCCUUCGGGUUGUAAAGUACUGUCGGCGGGGAGGCGGUACCCGAAGAGGAAGCCACGGCUAACUCCGUGCCAGCCGCCGCGGUAAUUC
rnacentral:rRNA from 1 species